rnacentral:tRNA from 1 species
CCCUGGCUAGCUCAGUUGGUAGAGCAUGAGACUCUUAAUCUCAGGGUUGUGGGUUUGAUCCCCCGCGUUGGGUA